CCUACGGGAUGCAGCAGUGGGGAAUAUUGCACAAUGGGGGAAACCCUGAUGCAGCGACGCCGCGUGAGUGAAGAAGUAUCUCGGUACGUAAAGCUCUAUCAGCAUGGAAGAAAAUGACGGUACCUGACUAAGAAGCCCCAGCUAAAUACGUGCCAGCAGCCGCGGUAAUAAGUAGGGGGCAAGCGUGAUCCGGAUUUACGUGGUGUAAAGGUAGCGUAGACGGAAGCACAAGUCUGGAGUGGAGUCCCGGGGCUUAACCCCGGAACUGCUUUGGAAACUGUGCGGCUGGAGUGCAGGAGGGGUAAGCGGAAUUCCUAGUGUAGCGGUGAAAUGCGUAGAUAUUAGGAGGAACACCGGUGGCGAAGGCGGCUUACUGGACUGUAACUGACGUUGAGGCUCGAAAGCGUGGGGAGCAAACAGGAUUAGAUACCCGUGUAGUC
rnacentral:rRNA from 1 species